CCUACGGGUGGCAGCAGUGAGGAAUAUUGGUCACUGGGCGCGAGCCUGAACCAGCCAAGUAGCGUGAAGGAUGACUGCCCUACGGGUUGUAAACUUUUUUUAUAAAGGAAUAAAGUGAGGCACGGGUGCCUUUUUGUAUGUACUUUAUGAAUAAGGAUCGGCUAACUCCGUGCCAGCCGCCGCGGUAAUACGUAGGAUCCGAUCGUUAUCCGGAUUUAUUGGGUUUAAGGGGAGCGUAGAUGGGUUGUUAAGUCAGUUGUGAAAGUUUGCGGCUUAACCGUAAAAAUGCAUUUGAUACUGGCAGCCUUGAGUACAGUUGAGGUAGGCGGAAUUCGUGGUGUAGCGGUGAAAUGCGUAGAUAUCACGAAGAACACCGAUUGCGAAGGCAGCUCACUAAACUGCCACUGACAUUGAGGCUCGAAAGUGUGGGUAUCAAACAGGAUUAGAUACCCCAGUAGUC
rnacentral:rRNA from 1 species